AAUGGCCGCGGUAAACUGACCGUGCAAAGGUAGCAUAAUAACUAGUCUUUUAAUUGAAGGCUUGAAUGAAUGAUUAAAUGAAAAAUUGACUUUAUUAAUACAAAUUAUUAUAACUUAAUUUUUAAGUCAAAAAGCUUAAAUUCUUAAGUAGGACGAGAAGACCCUAUAGAGUUUAAAAAUAAUUUUAUUAAUUUAAUUUUAGUAUUUUUAUUUAAGUUAAUAAUAUUAUUUUUUUGUUGGGGUGACACUAUAAAAUAUAUAACUUAUGGUUUAUUAAACAUUUAUGUAUGUAUUAAUGAUCCAUUAAUUUAAAAUAAUGAUUAUAAGAAUAAAUUACCUUAGGGAUAACAGCGUUAUUAUCUUUUAGAGUUCAUAUUAAUAAGGUAGUUUGCGACCUCGAUGUUGGAUUAAGAAUAUAGUUUGGAGCAAAAUCUAAACUUUUAGGUCUGUUCGACCUUUAAAUUCUUACG
rnacentral:rRNA from 1 species